rnacentral:rRNA from 1 species
AGAGUUUGAUCCUGGCUCAGAACGAACGCUGGCGGCGUGCCUAACACAUGCAAGUCGAACGAGAAAGCCCUUCGGGGUGAGUAGAGUGGCGCACGGGUGAGUAAUGCAUGGGAACGUACCCCUUAGUUUGGAAUAACCACUGGAAACGGUGGCUAAUACCGGAUGGUCUCGCAAGAGUAAAGAUGGCCUCUUCUUGAAAGCUAUCGCUAGGGGAUCGGCCCAUGUCCCAUUAGGUUGUUGGUGAGGUAAUGGCUCACCAAGCCUACGAUGGGUAGCUGGUCUGAGAGGAUGAUCAGCCACACUGGAACUGAGACACGGUCCAGACUCCUACGGGAGGCAGCAGUGGGGAAUAUUGCACAAUGGAGGAAACUCUGAUGCAGCAACGCCGCGUGGGUGAAGAAGGCCUUUGGGUCGUAAAGCCCUUUCGAUUGGGAAGAAGGGUAGUGUGGCUAAUAUCCACAUUACUUGACGGUACCUUUAUAAGAAGCACCGGCUAAUUUCGUGCCAGCAGCCGCGGUAAUACGAAAGGUGCAAGCGUUGUUCGGAAUGACUGGGCGUAAAGCGCGCGUAGGCGGGACAAUAGGUCGAUUGUGAAAUCCCCGGGCUCAACCUGGGAACUGCAGUCGAAACCAUUAUUCUUGAAUAUCUGAGAGGGUGGGGGAAUACCUAGUGGAGCAGUGAAAUGCGUAGAGAUUAGGUGGAACACCGGAGGCGAAGGCGCCUGCCUGGCAGAAUAUUGACGCUGAGGCGCGAAAGCGUGGGUAGCAAACAGGAUUAGAUACCCUGGUAGUCCACGCCGUAAACGAUGGAUACUAGUUGUUUGGGGAGUUAACCCCCUGAGUGACGCAGCUAACGCAUUAAGUAUCCCGCCUGGGGAGUACGGUCGCAAGGCUAAAACUCAAAGGAAU